rnacentral:pre_miRNA from 13 species
UGUCUCCCAUGUCUAUUGUACUUCAUCAGGUGCUCUGGUGUCACUCGUAACCCGGCACAUGUUGAAGUACACUCAAUAUGCGGUGAUU